GACGAACGCUGGCGGCGUGCCUAAUACAUGCAAGUCGAGCGGACUGACUGGGAGCUUGCUCUUGUUCGGUCAGCGGCGGACGGGUGAGUAACACGUGGGCAACCUGCCCGCAAGACCGGGAUAACUCCGGGAAACCGGAGCUAAUACCGGAUAACACCGAAGACCGCAUGGUCUUUGGUUGAAAGGCGGCGCAAGCUGCCACUUGCGGAUGGGCCCGCGGCGCAUUAGCUAGUUGGUGAGGUAACGGCUCACCAAGGCGACGAUGCGUAGCCGGCCUGAGAGGGUGACCGGCCACACUGGGACUGAGACACGGCCCAGACUCCUACGGGAGGCAGCAGUAGGGAAUCUUCCGCAAUGGGCGAAAGCCUGACGGAGCGACGCCGCGUGAGCGAAGAAGGCCUUCGGGUCGUAAAGCUCUGUUGUGAGGGACGAAGAAGCGCCGUUUGAAGAAGGCGGCGCGGUGACGGUACCUCACGAGGAAGCCCCGGCUAACUACGUG
rnacentral:rRNA from 1 species